rnacentral:lncRNA from 1 species
UACAGCUCUUUGAUUGGCUUUCUAGGAUAAGCCAUAAAAAUGAAGUGUGCAGAAUGCGACGGCAAAUGUCUGGAAAGAGGGACACUCUGUUCGGAAUGUCAGCAGGCUCUGAAGGGCCCAAAUGGGUCGCAGAGUCAGACAGAAGGAACUAAAUCUUUAAAACUAGAUACAAAUGAACCAAACCCUGUAAGUUCAGGACUGUCAGAAGAUGCCCCUGCUGAACAGGAUCCAGGACCUGGACUCCAGCCACCAGCUGAUUCUGCUGAAGCAGUCAUUGAGGAACACAAGGUUGGAGCUACGGACCUAGCCACUGGAGAAGCAGAGACAGAGGAGCAGAAAGAGGGGAAAACACUGGAUAGUAGAGGAUCUGGAAGGUUAGAACCAGAAAUAAAUGAAGGAAAUGAAGAAAAUGAAGGAAAACCUGAGAGUCCAGGACUUUUGAAAGAUGUCCUGUCUGGGCAGGAAUCAGGACCUGGAUCCCAGUUUCAGAAAAAAACAGAGGGACACAAGGACACCAGCUCAGACAGCAACCUCGCUGAGUCAUGGAGAGGUGAUGACCAGCAGCUGCAGGAUGAUGACUCCUGGGAGGUGCUACCCGACAGUGCAGAACGGAGAACUUCAGAACUGAACCAAGACCAAGCACAUCCGCUGAGUUCAGGAUGGGCAUCAGGACCUGGAUCCCAGCUGCAAUGCCAUGCUGCUGGAGAAACAGAUGAGGUGGGAGUUUUAUUUAACCCACUCAACAUCAGUUGAGCAUAGUUAUUCCA